rnacentral:rRNA from 1 species
GACGAACGCUGGCGGCGUGCUUAACACAUGCAAGUCGAACGGAAAGGCCCUGCUUUUGUGGGGUGCUCGAGUGGCGAACGGGUGAGUAACACGUGAGUAACCUGCCCUUGACUUUGGGAUAACUUCAGGAAACUGGGGCUCAUACCGGAUAGGAGCUCCUGCUGCAUGGUGGGGGUUGGAAAGUUUCGGCGGUUGGGGCUCGACUCGCGGCUUAUCAGCUUGUUGGUGGGGUAGUGGCUUACCAAGGCUUUGAGGGAUAGCCGGCCUGAGAGGGGGACCGGCCACAAUGGGACUGAGAUACGGAGCAGACUGCAACGGGAGGCAGCAGUGGGGAAUAUUGCACAACGGGCGCGAGCCUGAUGCAGCAGUGCCGCGUUCGGGAUGACGGGCUUCGGGGGGUAAACCGCUUUCGCCUGUGACGAAGCGUGAGUGACGGUAAUGGGUAAAGAAGCACCGGCUAACUACGUG